rnacentral:rRNA from 1 species
AGAGCGAACGCUGGCGGCAGGCCUAACACAUGCAAGUCGAGCGCCCGUAGCAAUACGGGAGCGGCAGACGGGAUAGUAACACGUGGGAACGCGCCCUUCGGUUCGGAAUAACUCAGGGAAACUUGAGCUAAUACCGGAUACGCCCUUACGGGGAAAGAUUUAUUGCCGAAGGAACGGCCCGCGUCCGAUUAGCUAGUUGGUGAGGUAAUGGCUCACCAAGGCGACGAUCGGUAGCUGGUCUGAGAGGAUGACCAGCAUCACUGGGACUGAGACACGGCCCAGACUCCUACGGGAGGCAGCAGUGGGGAAUAUUGGACAAUGGGCGCAAGCCUGAUCCAGCCAUGCCGCGUGGAUGAUGAAGGCCUUAGGGUUGUAAAGUCCGUUUUAACGGGGAAGAUAAUGACGGUACCGUAGAAUAAGCCCGGCUAACUUCGUGCCAGCAGCCGC